UACAGAGGUCCCAAGCGUUGUUCGGAUUCACUGGGCGUAAAGGGUGCGUAGGCGGUGAGGUAAGUCGGAUGUGAAAUCUCCGGGCUCAACCCGGAAAUGGCAUUGGAAACUACCUUGCUGGAGGAUUUGAGGGGGGAUUGGAAUACUUGGUGUAGCAGUGAAAUGCGUAGAUAUCAAGUGGAACACCAGUGGCGAAGGCGAAUCCCUGGAAAAUACCUGACACUGAGGCACGAAAGCUAGGGGAGCAAACAGG
rnacentral:rRNA from 1 species